GAGCUAGAUAUGAUAUAUAUCCAUCGAUGGAUCAAUUCAUAUGAAGGCAGUCAGCACGCAUACGGCAGUCUGAAAGCAUGCAUCUACGACAAACAAUCAUCAGGACCACGAAUUUAUAUCACUGCUAAACCAAGAAAAAGGUUUCGCUGAGAUGAGAAAAAACCAAGAAAAAGGUUUCGCUGAGAUGAGAAAUAACUCAAUAUAAUCAUCAUUCCCCUCCUGGGGUUUACAUGCAAGAGAAACCUACAUUAAAAUCAAACAAGGGAACAUGACUGUCUUUUAUAUUAUUUGCAGGGUCAUCCAAGUUCUCUUCACUCAGAAA
rnacentral:lncRNA from 1 species